rnacentral:lncRNA from 1 species
UCGGCUCUCAGUUUCCGAAAGUUGGUCUUCUGCCUUUUGACGUGAAGCUUGUCUCGGAGUCGACUCGAGCUGUCUGUGAGUCGACUCGAAUCUCAGAGGCAGUAACAUGGUCUUCUGUCUGUUGAUGGUCGCUCAGUCUCGGAGUCGACUCGCGUACUGCGGGAGUCGACUCGAAUCUCAGAGUCCGAAAAUCGUUCUCUAACUUUUUCUUUGUGUUCCUCUGAGAGUCGACUCUUACCUUCUUUGGAGUCGAUCUGCCAACCAUCGGAGUCGACUCGCGUUCCACUGGAGUCGACUCGAAUCUCAGAUCCGAAAACUGCUCUCUGACUUUUCUUUGUGUUUCUCUUGGAGUCGACUCUUGCUACCCUGGAGUCGACUCGUUGAACAUUGGAGUCGACUCGCGCACUUCGGGAGUCGACUCGUUGACAGUUUCUGAGUUGAAGCUUUCUGUCCUUCUGUCUGUUCUCAGUCGGAGUCGACUCGUACUGAUCUGGAGUCGACUCGAGCUCGUGCCAGUGAACUUGAUACGCUUGG